GCUCCUUCGGGAGUGGAUUAGCGGCGGACGGGUGAGUAACACGUGGGUAACCUGCCUCAUAGAGGGGAAUAGCCUUUCGAAAGGAAGAUUAAUACCGCAUAAGAUUGUAGUACCGCAUGGUACAGCAAUUAAAGGAGUAAUCCGCUAUGAGAUGGACCCGCGUCGCAUUAGCUAGUUGGUGAGGUAACGGCUCACCAAGGCGACGAUGCGUAGCCGACCUGAGAGGGUGAUCGGCCACAUUGGGACUGAGACACGGCCCAGACUCCUACGGGAGGCAGCAGUGGGGAAUAUUGCACAAUGGGGGAAACCCUGAUGCAGCAACGCCGCGUGAGUGAUGACGGUCUUCGGAUUGUAAAGCUCUGUCUUUAGGGACGAUAAUGACGGUACCUAAGGAGGAAGCCACGGCUAACUACGUGCCAGCAGCCGCGGUAAUACGUAGGUGGCAAGCGUUGUCCGGAUUUACUGGGCGUAAAGGGAGCGUAGGUGGAUAUUUAAGUGGGAUGUGAAAUACCCGGGCUUAACCUGGGUGCUGCAUUCCAAACUGGAUAU
rnacentral:rRNA from 1 species